AUUCCAGCUUCAGUAGCGUAUAUUAAAGUUGUUGCAGUUAAAAAGCUCGUAGUCGCAUUUCUGGCGAGAGGAAUUGGUCCGACAUUUAUUGUGGGUACUCGAUUCUCUCUCGCCAUCCUUGAGUGGUCCGUUCUGGCAUUUAGUUGUCGGAGCGUCAGCCGCUCAUCGUUUACUGUGAGAAAAUUAGAGUGUUCAAAGCAGGCUUAUGCCGUUGAAUAUAUUAGCAUGGAAUAAUAAGAUAGGACCUCGGUACUAUUUUGUUGGUUUGAGAACCAAGGUAAUGAUGAAUAGGGACAGUUGGGGGUAUUCGCAUUCAGUUGCCAGAGGUGAAAUUCUUAGAUUUACGGAAGACGAACUACUGCGAAAGCAUUUACCAAGGAUGUUUUCAUCG
rnacentral:rRNA from 1 species